rnacentral:rRNA from 1 species
UAACAAGGAUUCCCCUAGUAACUGCGAGUGAAGCGGGAAAAGCUCAAAUUUAAAAUCUGGCGGUCCUUGGCCGUCCGAGUUGUAAUCUGGAGAAGCGUUUUCCGCGCUGGACCGUGUACAAGUCUCUUGGAACAGAGCGUCAUAGAGGGUGAGAAUCCCGUCCAUGACACGGACGACCAGUGCUAUGUGAUACGCUCUCGAAGAGUCGAGUUGUUUGGGAAUGCAGCUCAAAAUGGGUGGUAAAUUCCAUCUAAAGCUAAAUACAGGCGAGAGACCGAUAGCGAACAAGUACCGUGAGGGAAAGAUGAAAAGCACUUUGGAAAGAGAGUUAAACAGUACGUGAAAUUGUUGAAAGGGAAACGCUUGAAGUCAGUCGCGUUGCGCAUGAUUCAGCCUUGCCUCGGCUUGGCGCAUUUCGUGCGUGACGGGUCAACAUCGGUUUUGGCCGACGGAUAAGGCGUGGGAGAAUGUGGCACUCUUCGGAGUGUGUUAUAGCUCCCAUGUAUAUACGCCGGCCGGGACCGAGGUCGGCAGCGCGCCCUUGUGGCCGGAGGUUCGCCUCACGUUUUCGCGCUUAGGAUGUUGGCAUAAUGGCUUUAAGCGACCCGUCUUGAAACACGGACCAAGGAGUCUAACAUGCUCGCGAGUGUUAGGGUGGAAAACUCUUGCGCGGAAUGAAAGUAAAUGUUGAGAGCCUCCGCAAGGGGGUGCAUCGACGCCCGGCCCUGAAGUUUACGGACGGUGCUGCGGUUGAGCGCGCAUGUUGGGACCCGAAAGAUGGUGAACUAUGCCUGAAUAGGGCGAAGCCAGAGGAAACUCUGGUGGAGGCUCGUAGCGAUUCUGACGUGCAAAUCGAUCGUCAAAUUUGGG